UACGGAGGGUGCGAGCGUUGUCCGGAAUCACUGGGCGUAAAGGGCGCGUAGGCGGCGCGGGCAGUCAACGGUGAAAGCUCGGGGCUCAACCCCGAGUCGGCCGUCGAUACUCCCGUGCUUGAGCACUGUAGAGGCAGGUGGAAUUCCGGGUGUAGCGGUGGAAUGCGUAGAGAUCGGCAGGAACACCCAGGGGGAAACCAGUCGACUGGGCAGCACCUGACGCUGAGGUGCGAGAGCGUGGGGAGCGAACCGG
rnacentral:rRNA from 1 species